GGCGGCAUGCUUAACACAUGCAAGUCGAGGGCGAAAGCCUCCUUCGGGAGGCAAGUAGACCGGCGAACGGGUGCGUAACACGUGAGCAACCUGCCUGGGAGAGGGGGAUAACCCGGGGAAACCCGGGCUAAUACCGCAUGACGUGGCUUGUCCGCAUGGUCGAGUCACUAAAGAGGGCGUCUUUUAGCGGAGCUCUUGCUUCCAGAUGGGCUCGCGGCCUAUCAGCUCGUUGGCGGGGUAACGGCCCACCAAGGCGAUGACGGGUAGCUGGUCUCAGCGGAUGAUCAGCCACACGGGGACUGAGACACGGCCCCGACUCCUACGGGAGGCAGCAGUGGGGAAUUUUGGACAAUGGGCGAAAGCCUGAUCCAGCGACGCCGCGUGCGGGAGGAAGCCCCUCGGGGUGUAAACCGUUGUCAGGGGGGAAGAAAAGGCUCGACAUAAUACUCCGGGCUCUUGACGGUACCUCCAGAGGAAGCGCCGGCUAACUCCGUGCCAGCAGCCGCGGUAAUACGGAGGGCGCGAGCGUUGUCCGGAAUUACUGGGCGUAAAGGGGGCGCAGGCGGUUUGCUAAGUCCUGUGUGAAAUCCCACGGCUCAACCGUGGAAUGCCACAGGAUACUGGCGAGCUUGAGACGGGUAGAGGCGAGUGGAAUUCCCGGUGUAGCGGUGGAAUGCGUAGAUAUCGGGAAGAACACCAGUGGCGAAGGCGACUCGCUGGGCCCGUUCUGACGCUCAGGCCCGAAAGCGUGGGGAGCAAACAGGAUUAGAUACCCUGGUAGUCCACGCCGUAAACGAUGGGCACUAGGUGCUGGGAAGUGUGACCUUUUCGGUGCCGCAGCUAACGCGUUAAGUGCCCCGCCUGGGGAGUACGGCCGCAAGGCUGAAACUCAAAGGAAUUGACGGGGGCCCGCACAAGCGGUGGAGCAUGUGGUUUAAUUCGAUGCAACGCGAAGAACCUUACCUGGGCUUGACAUGCUAGGGAAGUCGGGUGGAAACAUCCGGUGCCCUUCGGGGCUCUAGCACAGGUGCUGCAUGGCUGUCGUCAGCUCGUGUCGUGAGAUGUUGGGUUAAGUCCCGCAACGAGCGCAACCCUUACCCGUAGUUGCCAGCGGGUGAUGCCGGGGACUCUACGGGGACUGCCGGUGAUAAACCGGAGGAAGGUGAGGACGACGUCAAGUCAUCAUGGCCCUUACGCCCAGGGCGACACACGUGCUACAAUGGCCGGUACAAUGGGCCGCGAUCCCGUGAGGGUGAGCCAAUCCCAAAAAGCCGACCUAAGUUCGGAUCGGAGUCUGCAACUCGACUCCGUGAAGCCGGAAUCGCUAGUAAUCGCGGAUCAGCCAUGCCGCGGUGAAUACGUUCCCGGGCUUUGUACACACCGCCCGUCACGCCAUGGAAGCCGGGGGGACCCGAAGUCAGUGGCCCAACCCUUCGGGGAGGGAGCUGCCGA
rnacentral:rRNA from 1 species